AGGAGCCGUAUGAGGUGAAAAUCUCACGUUCGGUUCUAUGAUAUAAAUUUUAUAGAAUAAUCAAC
rnacentral:ncRNA from 1 species